AAAAUUUAAAAUUAAAAUACUAAAAUAGUAGAUAAGUAUUUAUUAAAACUUAAAUAAUUUGGCGGUAUUUUAGUUCAUUUAGAGGAAUCUGUUUAAUAAUUGAUAUUCCACGAAUAAAUUUACUUAAUUUAUUAUUUUGUAUAUCGUUGUUAUAAAAAUAUUUUUUAAUAAAAUUAAUAUUUAAAAAUUAAUAUUUUAAAUUUAAAUCAGAUCAAGAUGCAGAUUAUAAUUAAGAAUAUAAUGGAUUACAAUAAAUUUAUUUAAAUGAAUUUUAAUUUGUAAAAAUUAAUUGAAAGUGGAUUUAAAUGUAAUUUUGUUUAAUUUAAUAAAAUGAUUAAAAAUUAAAAUAUGU
rnacentral:rRNA from 2 species